rnacentral:rRNA from 1 species
GAUGAACGCUGGCGGCGUGCCUAAUACAUGCAAGUCGAGCGAAAAGACGAGGAGCUUGCUCCGUGGACGUUAGCGGAGGGCGGGAGAGUAACGCGUGGAUAACCUACUUAUAAGACUGGGAUAAUUACGGGAAACCGGAGAUAAUACCAGAGAAUAUAUUGAAGCGCAGGGGUCAAUGGAGAAAGACGGCUGUGGGGGAAGGAAUAGAGGGAUACGAGCCGGAUUAGGUGGUUGGUAAGGUAAAGGGCUUGCAAGGCUACGAGGCGUAACCGAGCUGAGUGGCUGGUCGGCCACCUUGGAACUUAACCACGGUCCAUACUCCUACGGGAGGCAGCAGUCUGGAAUCUUCCGCAAUGGUCGAAAGCCUUACGCAGCGACGCCGCGUGAGUUAUGAAGGCCUUCGGAUCGUAAAGCUCUGUUAUUAGGUAAGAACAACUGUGGAAUGAACUAUGCCCGUCUUGACGGUACCUAAUCAGAAAGCCACGGCUAACUACGUG